GUGCAGCGAUUGAUGCAUAUACUGGCUUCUUCUCCGUAUGUGGUGACAGCCGUCGCAAUUUGGGGAGGCAAGACACUGAUCUUGGUUUACUUUGACGACCUCACCAUCCUGUAAUCGACCUGGAUAGGACGUGCUAUUGCAAUCUCAUGGUGGUGAACAACAGCUAGCGCCAUGUCAUGUUCAAGGCCAAGAAGACAUCUCCGAGGUGGUAUUUCUGCGGGCCAAACAUGAGCUUCAUCCAGCUGUUGGGUUUUUCGUCAAGCUCUUUUGCAGAGAAACAAUAUCUUGCGAGGUGGCUGGUAUUUUUUGUGAAGCAUCAAAUGGAAGGACUCUAUUCGGCCGUGUGGUGAGGCAACUAAUUAACAUGGAAAGAUGUUCGAAGAAAAGUUCUCCAUGCUCCUACAUGUUGGUUUCCAACUACAACAACAGACCCAAGGUAAUAUAUAUGAUAUUGCACAGUCCUGUUGCCAUAGUUAAAUGUUCAGGUGCACAUGGACGAAGCUCUUUCAGAGAUCAUGGUACCACUUCAUUGUUAUAAUAUUUAAUGUUUAGUGGUUCUUCAUAAAAUCAGAUAGUACAGAGGAACAAAAGUUUGCACUUCUGUGAAAUUAUACUUUCUUUGUAGCCAACAAGCAGCAAAGCAAACGAAAAAUGUUAAGACAUAAUUUGGUAUAUUUGGUGAAGAUACCACUUCCUUGACUGACUUCUGUACUUUCCUGAUUGAGCUCUACUCUUUUUUUCCACGUAUUUGUGUUGCUGAAACAACUUCCUAGGUGCACAAAGGCAACCAGUUUUCUUAGCUUUAUUGUGUGGGAAGUUAAGUGCUUAGAUCCAGUAAAAUGGCAUCGUACAUUUCAUAUUUGGCCUUUUCUCACUAUCUGCUAGCUUGUGUCCAUCAAGAACAGUCACAUCGUCUUCAUGGUCAUGUCAUAGGCAAUUUCUAUUUCUUUCUUUAUUUGCAACUAAGCAUUGUGAUUUUAUGUUUGUCUUAGCUUUAUUGUCAAGGCAAGAUACAAAUUUUGCUACCAAACAUAUGUUAACUGAUAUCAGGUGAAGGAUAGAUAGAUUACCUCUAGACUAUCUACAUAUAUCAGCAACACUUGCUUCUCAUAUUUAAAAAUAUUAUUUCCCCAUUUCAUUAUUUGGCCUUUUCUCACUAUCUGAUAGCUUGUGUCCAUCAAGAACAGUCACAUCAUCUUCAUGGGCAUGUCGUAGCCAAUUCCUAUUUCUUGUUUUAUUUGGAACUAAGCAUUGUGCUACAGAUUUUAUGUUUGUCUUAGCUUUAUUGUCAAGGCAAGAUACCUUGAUACCAAACAUAUGUUAACUAAUAUCAGGUGAAGGAUAGAUAGAUCACUUUUAGACUAUCUACAUAUAUCAGCAACACUUGCUUCUCAUAUUUCAAAAUAUUAUUUCCCUAUUUCAUUGGCCCCUUACUCAAGCAUUAAAUUGCUUCAUAAUUGUUGUGGAUCAUUUUGCCCUGCAAAACUAAUUGUUCAUGCCUGUUACAUUCAAACAAUGAGAGGGAGACUCCAACAAUUUGUGUUCACCAUGUUACGGAAGAGUGCUAUGUAAAGUUCAAUUUUCUAGACUGAUUAUAGGUUCUUAGAUUAUUUGUGUCUUCUCAGUACUACGUGUAUUGUCUCCGCUUGAUCUGAAGUUCACUCUUUUUCUACCAUCAGUAUCAGUACUACGUACUAUUUAAUGAAAUGCAUCCAUUUGUUUUCGAAGUUGGUAUUUUUUUCUCCGAUUUAACCAUUCAGAUUUGCAGUGUUGAAUCAGCUAAAGAAACUAGAGUUGACAGGACCAUAGCCUCGAGAGAUUCAGACCAUCACAAACUCAAAUAGGUGGUUCAAUUCAAUCCAUUGUUUUUUAUCCUCUUCGUGUCUACCGCAAAAGUGGUAUGUUGUUACUGUUAAAUUGCUUUACGUGAUUAUAAACAAUGUACCUAUGAGAUAGAGAAACUUUUUCCCCCUUCUAAAUUAAGGUGAUUACAAAGAAUUUCAUAGGAGAACCUUAUAGCCAACAUAUACAUAGAGGAAUACAAGUAACAUGGUUCCUUUAUUUUGCAUGUGUGCUUCUUACUUGUGGGUUGCCAGUACAUAAUUUAGAGUAUAUAAGUAGCCUUCACUACUCCAUUAAACGAUAUCUCCUGGAUUCUAGAGUAAUUAACUUGUA